AUUGAACGCUGGCGGCAGGCCUAACACAUGCAAGUCGAACGAGUGGCGGACGGGUGAGUAAUGCUUGGGAAACUGGCUGAUGGAGGGGGAUAACGACUGGAAACUGUAGCUAAUACCGCAUACCAUCGGAUGUGCCCAGAUGGGAUUAGCUAGUUGGUGGGGUAAAGGCUCACCAAGGCGACGAUCCCUAGCUGGUCUGAGAGGAUGACCAGCAACACUGGAACUGAGACACGGCCCGGACUCCUACGGGAGGCAGCAGUGGGGAAUAUUGCGCAAUGGGCGCAAGCCUGAUACAGCCAUGCCGCGUGUAUGAAGAAGGCCUUCGGGUUGUAAAGUACUUUCGGCGAGGAGGCGUUACCCACAGAAGAAGCACCGGCUAACUCCGUGCCAGCAGCCGCGGUAAUAC
rnacentral:rRNA from 1 species